UAGGGAAUCUUCGGCAAUGGGGGCAACCCUGACCGAGCAACGCCGCGUGAGUGAAGAAGGUUUUCGGAUCGUAAAGCUCUGUUGUAAGAGAAGAACGUGUGUGAGAGUGGAAAGUUCACACAGUGACGGUAACUUACCAGAAAGGGACGGCUAACUACGUGCCAGCAGCCGCGGUAAUACGUAGGUCCCGAGCGUUGUCCGGAUUUAUUGGGCGUAAAGAGAGCGCAGGCGGUUUAAUAAGUCUGAAGUUAAAGGCAGUGGCUUAACCACUGGUCGCUUUGGAAACUGUUAAACUUGAGUGCAGAAGGAGAGGGUGGAAUUCCAUAUGUAGCGGUGAAGUGCGUAGAUAUAUUGAGGAACACCGGUGACGAAAGCGGCUCUCUGGUCUGUAACUGACGCAGAGGCUCGAAAGCGUGGGGAGCAAACAGG
rnacentral:rRNA from 1 species